UUGGCGUAAGGUUGCCUGUCGUCAUUUUUUAAUGGGGUGUGUAUGCGUGGUGUCCGCAAGGUCGCUUCGUCUUACUCUUUUGCCACCCUUUUUCCUUUAAGCUUUCCUUUCUAAUCUCGGCGGAGGCUCGUCGGCUCGCCGCGGCGGCGCCUCCUCUCCGACGCGGCACGUCGGCACUCGUGGUCUCUUCUCAUGUGGUGGCCAGGCCCUUGGACAACGGCACUUGGCGGCGCCGCCGUACCUUCCUCGUGGCGACGCCUAACCCCUCCUCGCGGCAGCGCCCGGAUCCCUCUCGCGGCGGGCCUGGUUCGAGGGACGAGCUAGCUAGUUCCUGAGAGCUAAGGCCGGCGGACGUCGUGUAGUCCGGUAGUCGAUUGUCUUACCGUCGUGACCCGUUUCGAUCGCCAUACACUCUCCGAGAACUAAACGAAUAUAGACCAAGACGAUAAUUCAAUGACUUCGUUCCAUACAAGGACAUAUAACACCACCGCAGUAUAUCUAAACGGUUUCAUAUCAAAGAAGUUUAACACUUCACUUAGGAUUACAGAGUUUGAGACCAGAACAUCAUACAAGAACAUAUAACACAACCGGAGUAUGUUUAAGCCUAUUUUAUCGUACAUGUAUUUCCUUUGAUGUACUUGUUUCAAAAAUUAGACAAACCUGAUUCUUAUAACAAUUGUAAGUGUGCGGAUUAGAUUAUUCACAGGAAUAAGAUCAACUACAGUCCAUGAGAAUGAAUGGAACCAGCUAUGUUUAUCAAACAGCAUGAUAAAUGAAUUAGAAGUAGAAGUUCGUAACAUAAAAACCAAAAACGAAAUUGUGUAGAGAACAAGGGCGCCUGUGGAAAAAGGAUAACAAGACCGCUUAAGACAGAGUCACGUAAGUAGGAGACUCAGUAGACUAUAGUGUUGUCUAGAGUUCAGAGGAAAAUAACGGUGACAACCCGAGUACAUGACGACGACGACUAUAAAACAGAACUGCGGGUAUAAACAAAUUACAUGAGGUUAAUGACAGUUACACCAAAGAGAAAGUGUGCGUAGUCAAGUGUACUUUCAAACAGUCCACUUAGAAAUAAUAAGACACUGACGUAUGAAUAUUAAAAAAUUUUAAUCUGUGUAGAGUUUCUAGACUUCACACGUAUCAAUUUUUUGGUUAGUGGAGAAAUAGACCG
rnacentral:rRNA from 1 species